AGUUAACAAGCUUAAGACAAAGCCUAAUGUUUUGAAAACAUUAAGAAAGAAGUUCGAAUCUUCUAUUAACUU
rnacentral:tRNA from 1 species